GCUGCUUGCAAUAAUAAAAUAGGUUUCAAUUAGUUUUCGAUACGAUUCCGAUUUUGAUUUGAUAGAAAACACAAAUAUUAUAGAUUUAAUCAACAAAAAAAAAAAAAAAAAAAAACAAAACAAAAAAAACAAAAUUGGGAAACUAUUUCUUCACACUUCGAGGCUGAUGUUAAGCGUGCGAGGAGCGCAAUGCGACUGUGAAUUGUGCGGGCUGCGCACCAGAUACGAAAUGUAAAGGUCAAAGCAGGAGCGGCAAAGGUAGCUGUAAAGCGCGCCAAAGGACAACAACAGCUGUUCGAGAGAGCGAGAGAAAGGAAGGAAGCAGCCACUGCAAGAGAGCGAACCAUAGGCCAUCAAAACUGCAGCUGCCGUCAUGCGUAUGAGUAUGUGUGUGUUUUGUGUGCAGGCAGGUAGCAUGCGACAAUGCCGUGAGAGGAGGCUGCCGUUGCCGUUGCUGUUGUUGUUGCUCUUGUCGGAUUUAUCAGAACAUAAGGAGAAACAUUUUACAGAAAAAUGCUAUGGAGAUCUUGCGAACAUUGUUUAUAAAUCUAAUUCCAUUGGCGAUCGUCGUAAUUUCAAGCAAAUAAACAAAUUUUUUGCUAAGAUAAGCAUUUCAGUCGGGUUAACUCGAUUCCUGAAUCGAAAAUAUCUAUAAACAACAGAAUGAAAUUCAAAUAUUAUUAAUAUGCGCCAAUUAUCACUAUAAAUACUUGCAGCUCCUAUGAUAGCUCUUCGGAUGAGGAGAGUCCAAAAAGAACUUAUUAAGAAUUAAAUAAUAAUUCUUAACAAAUAUUUCUAAGCAAAAAAGAAGUGAACAAGCCUUCUGGCCUGAACCGGACAAUCUACACAUCUUUAAAUUUCACAUUAGCGUAGAUCUUCAUACAGCAAAAGCACCUACGCAUACACAUACAUAUGCACAAAUUCAUGUUUAAUGAAUUCAGAGAUGCUAAUAUACGCAAUUCCGCAUAUGAAAUGUGAGUCAAACGAAAACAAAUCGAGUGUCAUACAAGCAUAAUUUACAGAUUUCGAUGAAAUGCUUUUCUCAGCUGAAUCAGCGCACACAUACAUAUGCAUAUGCAUAUAUGUAUACACAUACAUGCGUGUAAGUAGCUUGGGCACAGACGCGGCACACAGGCACACAUGCAGAUACUUAACACUAUAACAAGAACAAGAGCCAGAGCAGCGCAGCAUGCUGAGUGUGCGAGCGAGCAAGCGCAAUGUAAGCUAGUGGCUGCAGGGACGCAACUAAAGCGCGCCAAAAUGUAAACGCACAAAGGGAAUAUGGAUGAGAG